GACGAACGCUGGCGGCGUGCUUAACACAUGCAAGUCGAACGGAAAGGCCCUGCUUUUGUGGGGUGCUCGAGUGGCGAACGGGUGAGUAACACGUGAGUAACCUGCCCUUGACUUUGGGAUAACUUCAGGAAACUGGGGCUAAUACCGGAUAGGAGCUCCUGCUGCAUGGUGGGGGUUGGAAAGUUUCGGCGGUUGGGGAUGGACUCGCGGCUUAUCAGCUUGUUGGUGGGGUAGUGGCUUACCAAGGCUUUGACGGGUAGCCGGCCUGAGAGGGUGACCGGCCACAUUGGGACUGAGAUACGGCCCAGACUCCUACGGGAGGCAGCAGUGGGGAAUAUUGCACAAUGGGCGGAAGCCUGAUGCAGCAACGCCGCGUGCGGGAUGACGGCCUUCGGGUUGUAAACCGCUUUCGCCUGUGACGAAGCGUGAGUGACAGUAAUGGGUGAAGAAGCACCGGCUAACUACGUGCCAGCAGCCGCGGUGAUACGUAGGGUGCGAGCGUUGUCCGGAUUUAUUGGGCGUAAAGGGCUCGUAGGUGGUUGAUCGCGUCGGAAGUGUAAUCUUGGGGCUUAACCCUGAGCGUGCUUUCGAUACGGGUUGACUUGAGGAAGGUAGGGGAGAAUGGAAUUCCUGGUGGAGCGGUGGAAUGCGCAGAUAUCAGGAGGAACACCAGUGGCGAAGGCGGUUCUCUGGGCCUUUCCUGACGCUGAGGAGCGAAAGCGUGGGGAGCGAACAGGCUUAGAUACCCUGGUAGUCCACGCUGUAAACGGUGGGUACUAGGUGUGGGGUCCAUUCCACGGGUUCCGUGCCGUAGCUAACGCUUUAAGUACCCCGCCUGGGGAGUACGGCCGCAAGGCUAAAACUCAAAGGAAUUGACGGGGCCCCGCACAAGCGGCGGAGCAUGCGGAUUAAUUCGAUGCAACGCGUAGAACCUUACCUGGGUUUGACAUGGAUCGGGAGUGCUCAGAGAUGGGUGUGCCUCUUUUGGGGUCGGUUCACAGGUGGUGCAUGCCUGUCGUCAGCUCGUGUCGUGAGAUGUUGGGUUAAGUCCCGCAACGAGCGCAACCCUUGUUCACUGUUGCCAGCACGUUAUGGUGGGGACUCAGUGGAGACCGCCGGGGUCAACUCGGAGGAAGGUGGGGAUGACGUCAAGUCAUCAUGCCCCUUAUGUCCAGGGCUUCACGCAUGCUACAAUGGCUGGUACAGAGAGUGGCGAGCCUGUGAGGGUGAGCGAAUCUCGGAAAGCCGGUCUCAGUUCGGAUUGGGGUCUGCAACUCGACCUCAUGAAGUCGGAGUCGCUAGUAAUCGCAGAUCAGCAACGCUGCGGUGAAUACGUUCCCGGGGCU
rnacentral:rRNA from 1 species